rnacentral:lncRNA from 1 species
CAGUGCAGCCGGCAGCUCAGAAUCCCUGAACUUGAGACAUUGUUUCUUUUAGGGUAGUCUCUGUCAGAGACAAGCCAGGGGAUUUCUUCAAACAGAAGAACUCCUGGCACAGAAAUACAAUGUGAUUCACCCCCUAACAGAGUUUAAGCUCAGAGAAGCAGUUGUCUCACCUUGAGGUGUUUCAAGAGACAGAUCUCCUAAUGCAUUUCAAAUCAGGCUCUCCAAAGGAGAUGGUCACUAAGGACCCCAGUGUCAUCUUGGGAAUGCCCACACCAGGAUUCUGAAUGUGUAAGACACACUAGUGGGCAGACUCCAGACAGGGCAUUGGCCAAGGUGACACCAGUGACAGCCACUGUCUUAAUUUGGGUUUCCAUUGCUUUGAAGAGACAUCAUGACCAAGGUAACUUUUAUAAAGGGCAACAUUUAAUUGGGACUAGCUUACAGGUUCUGAGGUUCAGUCCAUCAUCAUCAAGGCGGGAACAUGGCAGGCAGAUGUGGGGUGGGAGGAGUCAUAUGUUCUACAUCUUGAUCCAAAAGUAGAC